UCCUUUUCGGGACUGCUCUAGAGGUGCUGCAUGGCUGUCGUCAGCUCGUGUCGUGAGAUGUUGGGUUAAGUCCCGCAACGAGCGCAACCCUUGUCCUUAGUUGCUAACAGGUUAAGCUGAGAACCCUAAGGAAACUGUCGGCGAUAAGCCGGAGGAAGGUGGGGAUGACGUCAAGUCCUCAUGGCCUUUAUGUCCAGGGCUACACACGUGCUACAAUGGGCGGUACAAAGGGUCGCAAACCUGCGAAGGGGAGCCAAUCCCAUAAAACCGUUCUCAGUUCGGAUUGCAGUCUGCAACUUG
rnacentral:rRNA from 1 species